GACGAACGCUGGCGGCGUGCCUAAUACAUGCAAGUAGGACGCAGUUGCGAACGGGUGAGUAACGCGUAGGUAACUGCCUAUUAGAGGGGGAUAACUAUUGGAAACGAUAGCUAAUACCGCAUACUAGUAGAUGGCACUGCGUUGUAUUAGCUAGUAGGUAGGGUAAUGACCUACCUAGGCGACGGUACAUAGCCGACCUGGGAGGGGGAGUGGCAAACAGGGGACGUGGACACGGCCCAGACUCCUACGGGCGGCAGCAGUAGGGAAUCUUCGGCAAUGGGGGGAACCUUGACCGAGCAACGCCGCGUGAGUGAAGAAGGUUUUCGGAUCGUAAAGCUCUGUUGUUAAGGAAGCGGUACUUAACCAGAAAGGGACGGCUAACUACGUGCCAGCAGCCGCGGUAAUUC
rnacentral:rRNA from 1 species